AUUCCAAUUGGACUCUUAAUAUCUCACCCGGCACAGCCAGAAGAGGACUGGUCACCCCUCUGAGCCUGGGUCCUCUCUAGGUUUCUUCCUAAAAUUCGGGCUUCUUAGGGAGUUUUUCCUAGCCACUGAAAUUCAACACUACUGUUGUUUGCUCCUUUGGGUUUAAGGCCGGGUGUCUCUGUAAAGCACUUUGUGACAACUGCUGUUGUAAAAAGCGCUUUAUAAAUACAUUUUGAUUGAUUGAUUGACUUGUUUUUAUUUAUAACAAUAUUUUAAAACCCCAACCGCGACACAAUCCACCUUUGCGAAAUGUGUGGUUGGCCCUGGGCCAUGGAUACUCCUUCAAAAUAAUAGCAUUGCUCAUGCGAUGUUAGUUUGCUGUAAUGCUGUGUUGGACUACAAACCGUGAGAUACGGGAUGAUUUCAACCUGCAUAUAUUACAGUUUGUAUUAGUGGUUAUUUAAGGACCAUUACUACUGGGCAGAUAUAACCUUGAAGCCCAUCUCUUGUUAAAAUGAAUGUUGGGCUGAAAACUAUCCAAAAUCGUAAGUCCCUCCCCAUCCUCUUCUUUAUAUCUUACAGAAAAAACAUGUAUCCCACGUGUAACUCCGUGCUUCUGGAAAAACACCAUGGUACAACCACAUUGUAAAACAUGGACGUUUACAUCUGUACUAUCCAAAAUGGAAGUUUACAUCUGUACCACAUGGCAUUGGAACCCUGCCACCCUUUUGUUUAACACCAAACAACUUAGGUACCAAAGGGAAAUUCCCAACACUGGGAAUUUAACAUUCCGGAACCCUAAGCCCCAUUUGUUAAUUAACAUUCCGGAACCCUAAGCCCCAUUUGUUAAUCAUCAAACAUAACCCACCUGUUAUAACACUGGUUUGCUCAUCAGGUGUUGUAAAACAUCAAACACUGACACAUCAAUGUAAUCAUAAAUCACAAAGUCACCGGACAUGCAUACGUCACUCCUGAAGUCCCACCCUAACAUACGUCAUACCGGAAGUCCCACACUAACAUACGUCAUACAGGAAGUCCCACCCUACAAACCGGAUGUCCCGCCCACCUGUCACAUCAAUAUGGAAGUCCCGCCCCCCAGAGCCAUAAAUCACCAUUCUGACCCAUUAUACCCUACACUAACUACUCAUCUGGACUGACUCAUAGGAACAGGGACACUUGACUUUGGGACUCUGGGGUCAUAGCAGAGCACAGACAUUAUUACAAACAUAGCUAUGUAUUCAUUUGACCAUGGUUAUACUAAUUCAUCCAGUUUGGCAACAUUACCCUAAUUUAUCCAUAAACAAUAUAGAGAAAGGUUUUAAUAAUCUUAGCUAAUGGCACUACAAAACUCAUUUUUGUUUGUUCACGUUUUCCAUUUUUUCUAAAUGUAUCAUUGUUUGAAACAAUUGUAAAUCACUUGUGAUAACUUUAUACAACUCAGGUAUUUAUUUUUGACAUUAAGUCCCACCAUUUCAUUAUUAGUUGAGUAUUAUUUUUAGUAUUGCAGUAGCCUAGACCAGGAUAAUAGGUAAACUGAUGCAAUGUUUUGUCUUCUCCUUUCUCCUGUAAGGACUGUGUGAGGCGGGACCUCUAGCUCAAUACAUGGACACGAUUUGGGAACAACCAUGUGAAGUGAAACCUCCUGCAACCUUUCCCUUUGGUACCUUCUGAGUUCCAGAACCAGAUUCAUGGCAUAAUGGACAUUUUGCUGGGGGAAAGGCAGAAGGCCUGACCUCCUUGUUGAGUCUGGAACACAUCUCCAAACAACGGUGAGAUAGAACAACACAAUUUAGAAUUGAACCUUGAGCCUUGUGCCCAACAGCAACAGACCUGGGGCACAAAGAGGCUUGCUACAGAAGAAGAUGAGACUGUGUUUCUGUCAAAGUUUCUACAGCAUGAAGAUCAGGGCAGAGAGGCCUUUGGGUCGAUACGGACAGGGACAACAACAGGACCAUGUGCCAGAAAUGUCUACUGGAGGAAAUGGAAGGAUUCCUUUGGGAGGCCCCAACCAAGUCCUGCUGACCAGGAAAACAACGGAAAAGAUAACUGAUCCAGGUUCCUGCAGAGGAAGCAACCACUGACUGAUUGUGUGUUAAUGUUGUUGUGUUUUCAACUUUUGUUUGCACCGCUAAUGUUGUUGUGUUGUGCAACGUAGGAGCCAGCUAUGAAGAGGAAAUGUUACUGACCGACCCACCAACCUCCCCCACCCAUCCAUUGUUAAAUAAAGUAGUGGUUAGAAACGUGGACUGUGGUUCAAGCCUCACCACAGACCUAACAAAUUAGGCAUUAGGAUUUGUUCAUAUUGCUCUUGUUUUCGAAUGACGAGUUUGGUCUCUACUUAAGAGUGAUCACUGGUGGCGUUAUAUCUUCAACAAAACAGUGAUGUAGACUGGGAGAAACAUUUUUACAAAUGAAAAAGACGACAUUCAUCUACUUGUCCAGCAAUCAGCAGGACAGACACGUCACUGCGUCCAGCAAUAUAAGGUGAGAGGAGAGUGGCCAUGACUCUAUGGGGUUUGGCCACCAAUGUUGAAUACAGAACCAUUGCCCAACUGUUUGGUGUGGGUGUGUCCACAGUCUGCACAGCUGUGCACCAGGUCAGUAAGGUAUCACAUAAACACCCAGCACUUUAUUACCCUACUAUUUCAGUGCUAGGAAACAACUGAGAUUAUUAUAUCUGAGAUCAUUAUAAUACAUGGCAUAACAAAAACAUAUAACCUAAAAGCAAGAUGGGGCAGCAGGGUAGCCUAGCUAUUAGUUAAAGUGCCAGUAACAGAAAAGUUGCUGGCUUAAAAUGUCAAAGCCAUUAAGGUGAUUUGUUGAUCUGGAAAAAAUAAAAGUUUAAUUAUGAAGCAUGAUAUAGCAAGGGACAUUAUUGCUAUGUUGCUGUCAAUUAUGAUCCCUG
ensembl:lncRNA